rnacentral:rRNA from 1 species
UUCUUAGUGGCGGACGGGUUAGUAACACGUGAGAAUCCUACCCUUGAGUGGGGAAUAGCCUUUCGAAAGGAAGAUUAAUGCCCCAUAGUCUCUACGGAGUAAAGAUGCCUUCGGGUGUCGCUUAAGGAUGGGCUCGCGGCCUAUCAGCUAGUUGGUGAGGUAAGAGCUCACCAAGGCAACGACGGGUAGCUGGUCUGAGAGGACGAUCAGCAACACUGGAACUGAGACACGGUCCAGACACCUACGGGUGGCAGCAGUCGAGAAUCAUUCACAAUGGACGAAAGUCUGAUGGUGCAACGCCGCGUGGAGGAUGACGGCCCUAGGGUUGUAAACUCCUGUCAUCAGGGAGUAAGACUUAUUCGUUAAUAGCGUGUAAGUUUGAUAGUACCUGAAGAGGAAGGGACGGCUAACUUCGUGCCAGCAGCCGCGGUAAUACGAAGGUCCCAAGCGUUGUUCGGAAU